rnacentral:lncRNA from 1 species
GAUUUCUAUUGACUGUUCUUAUAGAUUUAUGCAGGGAGAUUUAUUUCAGCAGAGGUCCCUCUGUGGUCACAAUGUUGACUUCUCCGGUGCUUGAUUUGGGCUGGCUUUGGGGAUUUAAUUCUGUCUAAUCUUAAGCACCUUUAUAAGUCUCCCAAAUCAGGAGACCAAUUGCUCUGUGACGGUGAUGGCAAAAAUAAGCCUGGCAGACUCUGCCAGAGAUUCCUGCUGGAAUGGGACUGAUCCAUCCUGGUACCUAGGCCUGUAGUGAACUCAGGGGAAAAUUGGGUGGAAUUAUCUGUU